UACAGAGGUGGCAAGCGUUGUUCGGAAUUACUGGGCGUAAAGGGCGCGUAGGCGGUUCGUUAAGUCCUGUGUGAAAUCCCCCGGCUCAACUGGGGAACUGCACAGGAAACUAGCGGGCUUGAGUUCGGGAGAGGGAAGCGGAAUUCCGGGUGUAGCGGUGAAAUGCGUAGAUAUCAGGAGGAACACCGGUGGCGAAGGCGGAUCUCUGGGCCUUACCUGACGCUGAGGCGCGAAAGCUAGGGGAGCAAACAGG
rnacentral:rRNA from 1 species